rnacentral:misc_RNA from 1 species
AGCAGCCGCGGUAAUUCCAGCUCCAAUAGCGUAUAUUAAAGUUGUUGCAGUUAAAAAGCUCGUAGUUGAAUUUCGGGAUUGACACAUCGGUCGUGCCUUAAGGGGUAUGAACUGGUGUAGUCAAUUUCUCACCUUCUGGAGAACCGCGAUGCCCUUAAUUGGGUGUCGCGGGGAACCAGGACCUUUACUUUGAAAAAUUAGAGUGUUUAAAGCAGGCAUUUUGCUUGAAUACAUUAGCAUGGAAUAAUAAAAUAGGACGGCAUGAUUCUAUUUUGUUGGUUUCUAGGAUCACCGUAAUGAUUAAUAGGGAUAGUUGGGGGCAUUAGUAUUCAAUUGUCAGAGGUGAAAUUCUUGGAUUUAUUGAAGACUAACUACUGCGAAAGCAUUUGCCAAGGAUGUUUUCAUUAAUCUAAGAACGAAAGUUAGGGGAUACGAAGACGAUCAGAUACCGUCGUAGUCUUAACCAUAAACUAUGCCGACUAGGAAUCAGACGAUGUUAAUUUUUAAUGUACUCGUUUGG